AUUUCCCUGAGGGGUUCGUGAUAGUGGGGAUAAUUUUUGAGCCAAUGCUUACCUCUUGGGAGCCGUUGUGUAGCUCUGGUGUGCAGGCCUCUUGUCUGACAAGAGGAAGCCUAAAAGAGUUACUUUGGCGCCCACCUAUACAUAAGAGGUUCAAAAUUACCCGCUACACGGCCUUUUGGGGUUUUA
rnacentral:other from 1 species